CGAACGCUGGCGGCAGGCCUAACACAUGCAAGUCGAACGCCCAGCAAUAGGAGUGGCAGACGGGUGAGUAACACGUGGGAACGUACCCUUCGGUUCGGAAUAACUCAGGGAAACUUGAGCUAAUACCGGAUACGUCCGAGAGGAGAAAGAUUUAUCGCCGAAGGAUCGGCCCGCGUCUGAUUAGCUUGUUGGUGAGGUAACGGCUCACCAAGGCGACGAUCAGUAGCUGGUCUGAGAGGAUGAUCAGCCACAUUGGGACUGAGACACGGCCCAAACUCCUACGGGAGGCAGCAGUGGGGAAUAUUGGACAAUGGGCGCAAGCCUGAUCCAGCCAUGCCGCGUGAGUGAUGAAGGCCUUAGGGUUGUAAAGCUCUUUUACCUGGGAAGAUAAUGACGGUACCAGGAGAAUAAGCCCCGGCUAACUUCGUGCCAGCAGCCGCGGUAAUCU
rnacentral:rRNA from 1 species